rnacentral:tRNA from 1 species
GUCGGUAGCAACCUUGGCGGGUUCGACUCCAGUGCUCGCC